AGGCUUGUGUCUCAAUAGAGGAUGGGUAUCUACCUAAAGUUACUUUUGUAGUGAUCCAAAAGAGACAUCACACCCGUCUCUUUCCUGUCAACCCCAAAGAGACCGAUAGAAGUGGAAAUAUUAUGCCAGGAACCGUGGUAGACACCAGCAUUUGUCACCCUAGGGAAUUUGAUUUUUACCUUAACAGCCAUGCAGGAAUUCAGGGGACUAGUCGACCAACGCAUUAUCAUGUGCUGUAUGAUGAAAAUAAAUUCACUGCAGACCAGCUACAGAGUUUGACCAAUAACUUGUGCAGGGGACUACUCGAUCUGUCUCAAUAGUUCCUCCUGCCUAUUAUGCACACUUGCUAUUAUUCAUCAUGGGUGGAUGGGCGUUAUUUUGUUUAGUAUUGGUUAGAACUACUAGACAGCUUUUGGAUACAGUGGUCACUGGGUGUUGGUUGCUAUGGAUCUUUCGAGACUAAUAGUGUAUAUUGUUGUUGUACUUUUACUAAAUCAUGAAUAUGUUGUUGUAUAUUGUUGAUCAAAGAAUCAUAUAUUAAUGUUGUAUAUAUGAAGGAUUAAUGU